CACGUCCUCACCUCAUUUCACUCACAACGCAGAACAACACAAAGGGUCUCUCUCUCAGUGCACUAGCAGCCCCUCAUCUCCGCCGGCAGAACCCAAGGCUACCAUCUCACCACUCGACUUCUCCGGCACAAACCGCCGUCAAUGGUGUCGCCGGUGACAUCGCGAGCCGCCAGAGCCACCGAUCGCCCGACGUUAGGCCCUUCCUCCAUUUCGGUUCGCACGCCACCACCCCAUCUGACUAGUCACCGUCGUUUGAGCGAGCCCAGUCGUCGCGAGUCGCUAGCCAAAGCACCACCAACACCACGGGUCACGGCCAAGGUCGCCGCCAGUUACCCUUCGUUCGCAAGCAGGGAAAAAACCCUCCCCUCUCUUCGAAGUCGUGGUCGCUGCCACCAAGUGCUACGAGUCUGACACACACAACUUGCUAAUUGGGUGGUGAAGCCCCAAUUGUAACUCUUUAGAGCAACGAGGAUUAUCUGACUUUGUUUAUAAUUGACCCUGGGUGUUCAGAUUGAGUUUUUUCUUACAGGGAAACGACAUUGGGGAUUUCACGGUAUAAGUCGAGGUUAAUGAUGAUAAUGGGGUUGUGUUUGUGAGUUUUUUUUUUGUUGAUUUGGUUCAGCUUGGUUGAUUUUGUUCUUCCUUGUUUGAGGUAUAUUGCUGUUGAUGUUGGAAAACAAGGAAAAUAAAAGUAUAAUGGAACAUGAAAGGAGGGUUGAGUCUACGGGUGGCCGUGAUGUUGAAGGGUUUCAUUGGGUUGACUAGUUUCAUUUGUUUUGGUCUCCUCUGUUUUCCUUUUUUAAAUGCAGGACCAAUGGUGUGAGAACAAUGGCGAAAAUGGGGAUAUUUAGUGGUAGAAACAUGUAAAAGAAGUCAUUCAGCGACGGAGGAAUCAAGGAGUAGAUAUGGGUUGAUGGUGGUGACGUUAGGUAGGGGGUGGAGAUCAUUAACAAAAUGUAGAUAGAGGUUUCAAGUUAAAGAGGGAGUGUGAUUUGCAUAGGACGAAUGACGAAGGGGAACACUCACACCAAAUGAAACUAUAUUUUUUUAUUUUUUAUUCUCUGUAUAUCCAACUUCACUCUCUGCUCCCCCAGAAUGGAUGAUGGUUCCGGAUCAGGACAAGAACCAACCCUGCCAAUUCGCUUCGCCUCUGCCAAAAACAAAGAUCGCUUCCUUUCUGCCCA
rnacentral:lncRNA from 1 species